GACGAACGCUGGCGGCGUGCUUAACACAUGCAAGUCGAACGGGUCUGCCCUGUUUUUUGCGGGGUGGGUCAGUGGCGAACGGGUGAGUAACACGUGAGUAACCUGCCCCUCACUUCUGGAUAACCGCUUGAAAGGGUGGCUAAUACGGGGUGUUCUGGCUGUGCCGCAUGGUGUGGCUGGGAAAGAUUCACUUUUGUGGUGUUUUGGUGGGGGAUGGGCUCGCGGCCUAUCAGCUUGUUGGUGGGGUGAUGGCCUGCCAAGGCUUUGACGGGUAGCCGGCCUGAGAGGUUGGGCGGUCACACUGGGACUGAGAGACGGCCCAGACUCCUGCGGGAGGCAGCAGUGGGGGGUAUUGCACAAUGGGCGGAAGCCUGAUGCAGCGACGUCGCGUGAGGGAUGGAGGCCUUCGGGUUGUGAACCUCUUUCGCCGGUGAAGAAGGUCCUGCUCUUUGUGGUGGGGUUGACGGUAGCCGGGUUAUGAAGCGCCGGCUAACUACGUG
rnacentral:rRNA from 1 species